GCGCUGAAGGUGACGUAAUAUGAUACACCCUUGUAUCCAACUGUUGCCCACCCGCCUACACCGUGCUUUUAACCCAAAUGGAAAGAAUAAAUACAACCGACUUCGGACACCGACACAAAGACGUGAACACAAAGAGCAGUAAAAGUCGUUCUUCCACACUCUGCUCGAGCUGCUCUACUGGGACGUUGUCAACGCCAGAUGAGACCGUUCCUUCACACUGAUACCACUCUCUAGACCUCUUCUCCUAUUACUGGUAUGCCUUGAGGUCAGGUCUGCUUUUCUGGUUUACUGCCAGGCCACGUCUCCUGAAUGCAGUGUAUUUCUUCUAAAAAUAAAAAUGACUCACCACAGAAAGAAAGAUACAAAGAUCAACAGAAUAAAAUAUGGAUGAAUAAUGAUUUAUCCCAGAGCAAACUUUAUAACUAUUCUUCCAGGGUGAAACAACAUCCGCGAAGUCUGGACGCAGCUUUAUAACUGCGAAAACGAGAUUCACAUUUUUGACUUGCCCACCCUGGGGCAAUGACCUACUCUAGCGUCAUGAGUACAGCUCCGAGUGAUCAAAUGAUAAUAUAAUAAACCAGGUUCCAGGUAGAGUAUUCACCACGUACCACACACACACGAAUGAUGACGUCUUCCUCUACCUGUCUAGUUGACCGUUGAUGACUUUAGAGGCUUAGCUUGCCUUAGAUCUCUCUUAGAACUUGUAAGAAUAUAAAUAUAUCUAAAAUAAAAGCCA